UUUGUAUUUGAUGAUCAAAUUGAUUUUGUUAAAUCAUCGGUCAUAGAAGGAACACAGUUUGAAGAUGAUUCAGACCAAGAGACCAUCGAUGCAAAAGAUAUUCUAAAAAGGGAGCUCCAGGAUGAGCGGAAAACCCUUCCAAUCUACAAAUUCAGAGAUGAACUGCUCAAGGCUGUUGAUGAAUAUCAGGUUAUUGUCAUAGUGGGAGAAACCGGCUCUGGUAAAACGACGCAAAUACCUCAAUAUCUUCAUGAAGCUGGAUAUACAGCAAGAGGAAAGGUUGCUUGUACACAACCUCGUCGAGUGGCAGCCAUGAGCGUUGCAGCUAGGGUGUCUCAAGAGAUGGGUGUUAAAUUGGGACACGAGAUUGGUUACUCCAUAAGGUUUGAGGAUUGUACCUCAGAGAAAACAAUGAUUAAAUACAUGACUGAUGGAAUGCUUUUGAGGGAGUUUCUUGGAGAACCAGAUUUGGCUGGCUAUAGUGUUGUCAUGGUUGAUGAGGCUCAUGAGCGCACGCUGUCUACUGAUAUCUUGUUUGGUUUGGUUAAGGACAUUGCUAGGUUUCGUCCAGACCUGAAGUUGCUCAUUUCAAGUGCAACCCUUGACACAGAAAAAUUUAGCGACUACUUUGAUUCAGCUCCUAUUUUCAAGAUUCCUGGGAGGCGAUACCCUGUUGAAGUACAUUAUACAAAAGCUCCAGAAGCAGAUUACAUUGAUGCUGCCAUUGUCACUAUUUUACAGAUACAUGUGACACAACCCCCUGGUGAUAUCCUAGUGUUCCUUACAGGACAGGAAGAAAUUGAAACUGUUGAUGAGAUCCUGAAACACAAAACAAGGGGUUUACGCACAAAGAUUUCAGAGCUAAAUAUAUGCCCUAUUUAUGCAAAUUUGCCUACUGAACUUCAAGCAAAGAUCUUUGAGACAACCCCUGAGGGUUCUCGGAAAGUGGUCCUGGCCACUAAUAUAGCAGAGACUUCAUUAACCAUUGAUGGUAUAAAAUAUGUUAUUGACCCAGGUUUUUGCAAGAUCAAGUCAUAUAACCCUCGUACAGGGAUGGAAUCCUUGCUUAUCAAUCCCAUCUCAAAGGCAUCAGCAAACCAGAGGGCAGGAAGAUCUGGACGGACAGGACCAGGAAAAUGUUUCCGUCUGUACACAAGUUAUAACUACAUGCAUGAUCUUGAGGACAAUACUGUUCCAGAGAUACAAAGAACCAACCUUGCAAAUGUUGUUCUUACACUUAAGAGUCUUGGUAUUCAUGACUUGGUUAAUUUUGAUUUUAUGGACCCACCUCCUUCAGAGGCCUUGUUGAAGGCCCUGGAACAACUUUUUGCUCUUAGUGCACUCAACAGUCAUGGAGAGUUGACCAAGACUAGAAGACGAAUGGCAGAGUUUCCACUAGAUCCUAUGCUGUCAAAGAUGAUAGUAGCUUCAGAGAAAUAUAAGUGUUCUGAUGAGGUCAUGUCCAUUGCGUCAAUGCUGUCGAUCGGCAAUUCUAUAUUCUACCGCCCGAAGGACAAACAGGUUCAUGCAGAUAAUGCAAGGUUGAACUUCCACACUGGGAACAUUGGGGACCACAUAGCAUUACUCAAUGUCUAUAACUCAUGGAGAGAAACAGACUUCUCGACUCAAUGGUGUUAUGAAAAUUAUAUCCAGGUCCGCAGCAUGAAGAGAGCAAGAGACAUUCGAGAUCAACUGGAGGGACUUAUGGAGAGAGUUGAGAUUGAGGUCUGUUCAAAUGCCAGUGACUUGGAUGCUAUUAAAAAGGCUAUAACAUCCGGUUUCUUCCACCAUUCUGCACGGUUGCAGAAGAAUGGUUCAUAUAGAACUGUCAAGAACCGUCAGACGGUCUUUAUCCACCCUAGUUCAGGAUUA
rnacentral:rRNA from 1 species